rnacentral:rRNA from 1 species
GAUGAACGCUGGCGGCGUGCCUAAUACAUGCAAGUCGAGCGAACAGACGAGGAGCUUGCUCCUCUGACGUUAGCGGCGGACGGGUGAGUAACACGUGGAUAACCUACCUAUAAGACUGGGAUAACUUCGGGAAACCGGAGCUAAUACCGGAUAAUAUAUUGAACCGCAUGGUUCAAUAGUGAAAGACGGUUUUGCUGUCACUUAUAGAUGGUUCCGCGCCGCAUUAGCUAGUUGGUAAGGUAACGGCUUACCAAGGCGACGAUGCGUAGCCGACCUGAGAGGGGGAUCGGCCACACUGGAACGGAGACACGGUACAGACUACUACGGGAGGCAGCAGUAGGGAAUGUUCCGCAAUGGGCGAAAGCAUGACGGAGCAACGCCGCGUGAGUGAUGAAGGUCUUCGGAUCGUAAAACUCUGUUAUGAGGGAAGAAAAAAUGUGUAAGUAACUAUGCACGUCGUGACGGUACCGAAUCAGAAAGCCACGGCUAACUACGUG